rnacentral:rRNA from 1 species
AGAGUUUGAUUAUGGCUCAGGAUGAACGCUGGCGGCGUGCCUAACACAUGCAAGUCGAGCGGAGAUAGUUGAAGCCUAGCGAUUACUAUCUUAGCGGCGGAUGGGGUGAGUAACACGUGGGUAACCUGCCCUGUACUGGGGAAUGACAGCUGGAAACGGCUGUUAAUGCCGCAUAUGCGCACGGAGCCGCAUGGCCCUGGGCGGAAAGAUUUAUCGGUACAGGAUGGGCCCGCGUCGGAUUAACUUGUUGGCGGGGUAACGGCCCACCAAGGUGAUGAUCCGUAGCCGACCUGAGAGGGUGACCGGCCACAUUGGGACUGAGACACGGCCCAAACUCCUACGGGAGGCAGCAGUGGGGGAUAUUGCACAAUGGGGGAAACCCUGAUGCAGCGACGCCGCGUGAAGGAUGACGUAUUUCGGUAUGUAAACUUCUAUCAGCGGGGAAGAAGAUGACGGUACCCGACUAAGAAGCCCCGGCUAACUACGUGCCAGCAGCAGC